AACCACACAUUCGUGGAGGUCAGUAGCAUAAAGGUAUGCUAAGUUCUUGAGCAUAAGUUAAACAAUCCGGUUGUUAGUUUUCAGCCGUGAAUAUUCGUACUGAAGCUCAUGGUUACUUGUGCCGAUAUUUUGCCAGGAGAUUAUCAUAUUAUCCAUGAAUAUUUGUAUUGAAGAUCAUGUGUUGGAUGGAUUUUGGAUGGCCUGGUAUCUUUGAUUAUUCGUACUGAAGCUCAUUGGUACCUGUGCCGACAUUUAUCUAGGAGAUUAUCAUUUUAUCCCUGAAUAUUUGUACUGAAGAUCACUUGUUGGAUGCAUUUUUAGAUGGUCUUAUAUCUCUAAAUAGCUAAGCAAGAAUAUUGUUUCUCAUGGAAAACUAUUCCUUUUUACUAGCUAGAAUUAGACAGGGUAGUAAGGCAUAAGAGGUUAGUUGGUUGGUUUAGUCAACUUUGAAUUUAUCAAGAGUGAAGAUGUUAACCACCAGUAUAUGCACAACAUGUCACUGAAUUCUAGCUGUCUGAAUGUAAUCUCAUGAAUUUCAGUUAUCUCUGAAUAUCACCAGUACAUACUUGGCAUCAGUGGGUGUACAAGUAUACAUAAAUAACAUCAGCACAUGAAUUUCACUAUACCAAUACUCUAAAUCAGUGAAGAAUGAAUGUGGAUGUACAAGAAGCAAAAUCCCUGUGUUAUCCAUGUCACUGAAAUGACAGAAAAGACUUCCUGUACAUCCACGUUCAUUCAAGUAUUUUCUGUAGAUCCACACUGAUUCACGUGCAGCACAAGAACUAGUAUUUGUCUGUACAUCCACAUUCAUUCUGUUACAGCAAAACAUCAGCAAUUUCUCUGUCAAACAUCAGCAAAACAUUCACGUGGAGUAGUUUUGACGGCAAGCAAGCCACCGCGCAUGGAUGCAGCACUGCGGCCGCUUGGUUUCCCUUGUGAGUGGGCAACGUCGUGUCGCUGUCGCAUGGGUGCAGCGCCGCAGCCGCUUUGUCUCACUCGCGUGUGGGUGUAGCGCCGGGUCGCGGAGGACGCCACCGCCCGGAGGCAUCACCAUGGCCGUGGGGUCGUAGCUGCAUGGGGCAAGCACUGUGCUGCCAUCGCGUGUGGUCAGUACCAGACCGCGGUCGCGUCGGGGCGCUACCAUGGCCUGCGGGUCGCCGUAGCUAGGGGAGCGGCGCCGAAGUCAGUCAUUGUUGAAUCGCCGCGGCGUCCAGGUCGCACUCGUGGCUGGAGAAAAAGUAGGAAGGGGAUAAUUUCAUGUCACAUGUACUACCAUGUGACAGUAAUACUAUUUCUUGUUCCAUCAAUCAAAUUUUGCUUUACAAUGUAUAGAUAAAAUUUGCUUUACCAUGUGACACUAAUACUGGUAUGUAUGUAUCCCUGUUGUCUUGUCUUGUGAUGCAGCUAGUGAUGCUAUUGACUGUAAUGCAACUGUUAUGUUUUUUUAACAGGACUAGCUUUAUGGACAUAAGGCAAAAAUGACACGAGAUAAGAGCUGGAUGGACAGGGAAAGAGAUUCUCUUGAGUGGCAAAUUGGCAUGAAGGAUUUCCUGAAUUUUGCCUUCGAUGGUGCUCACCCAGACUCAGCAGGCCCAUGCCCAUGUAGGAGAUGUCUCUAUAUUGUUCAGACAAAGAAAAGGGAUGGUCCUGAACUUUUUUUAUGGUUACCUACAAGUAGUAUCUCUCCUGAAGUUUAAUCUGAUGUUAAAUAGGUUCAAACAAGGCACCCCUGCAUAGUGUCAUCUGUUGUGGCAAAUGGGAACAGAAGCUAACACUACUAGAAAAAGGGCUAUAGAUGGGAUUGACACUAAUGGCGCACCAGACAAGCGGUGCGCCAUUAGUAUAUACUAAUGGCGCACCACCUUCUGAUACGCCAUUAGAGUUGAAACUACUAAUGGCGCACCUGGCCCAGGGUGCGCCAUUAGUAUCAAUUUUUUUUAACUACUGCGCCUGUCCAAACAUACUAAUGGCGCAUCCAGACGCAGUGCGCCAUUACUAGUUGUAACUAGUAAUGGCGCACCUGCCGGAAAGUGCGCCACUAAUGUUGUUUUUUCUAUUAUAUUUUUAUUCCCUUUUUUGCAAAACUACUAAUGGCGCACUUUUCCACCGUGCGCCAUUACUAGUUUAAACUAGUAAUGGCGCACUGUGGAACAGUGCGCCAUUAGUAUGUUUUUUUUUGCAAAACUACUAAUGGCGCACCACCAGAAGGUGCGCCAUUAGUAACCUGGGUUACUAAUGGCGCAUUUAGUGUUGGUGCGCCAUUAGUAAGUGGGCAGCAACAAGAUAUUUUGGACAGCCUCUCCUACCCACACUCACUUUCUCCCCACUUCAUUCUCUCCACCUCCUCCUUGUCUCGGGUGCCUCCUCUUUUUCACCUCAUUUCCACCAUAGAUUCAUUCAAUUUAAGUGGUUAAAUUACCUUGUUUUGAUAGGUAAGUAAGGGGGAAGCUAUAUUUAUGUUGUUCUCCCUACAACAAUGUGCACAUGCACUUUUUAUGGCCUAGCUAGAUCUAUGUAUGUUCGUGGUGUUGCAUAUGUUUGUGGUGUUGCAUAUGUGUUUGUGUUUGGAGGUGUACCGGUAUUUGAAAUGCGAUAGUUGCCAAUAUUUUGCCGGAAUGUUGAUUCAUUUCCGUUUCGGCGAGAAUUUUGGCAUUAAGCAUUCUUUUUGGUCCUAUUUUUAGGGAAAGUCAUGCCAAAUUUUUUUCUUGGUUCUAAAAUAUCGUUUUGCUCUACCCCGCAGGCGACCAUGGUCCGCACGAUGACCGAAGGCAUCGUGAAUAGGUUUUUGAGGUCCGCAAAGGCCGAGAUGCUUCAAAAGAACGAGACGGAGAUAAGAUGUCCGUGUCGAAGAUGCAAGCUGAAUAGCCUUAUUGCGGACCCGGAUUCCGGGCAGGUGCGGGACCACCUGCUCUUGCGUGGUUUCAUGGAUGGCUAUCGGUGGCAAGGUGAUGAAGAUGACUACGAAGUCGUCCAUGGGGGCCGGGCAAGAAAUGAGGAAGGGCAGCAAGACAACCACCGCGGCUCGGGCGGGCGAGAAGACGAAGAAUCCCCAGGAGAUGAUCACGACGGUGAUGCUGUACACAGUCAUCAUGUAGAAGAUGCAGGACAUGAUGAUGAGGAAGAUGCCGGAGCAGACGAUGGGCAUGAUCAUGAAGAUGAUGAUGCCGGCGGAGCAGACGACGCUGGACCAUCGAUGGGCUGGGUGCAGGACCCUCAUAUUCAAGAGCUGCUUCUCAAGCAGACGGAUAACGCAAGAGCUGCCGCCCGAGAGAAAGCCAAGAUGGAUCAACUUGAGUUAGACGCGGUUACUCCAUUGUAUGAAGGGUGCAGGCCCGAGGAUACCCGCCUAAAAGUAACGCUCAUGGCUCUGGAGAUGAAGGUAAAACACAAAAUGACCGACGCAUGCUUCGACGAGAACAUGUCAUUCUGGCACGAACGUCUUCCCAAGGGGAACAAGUGCCCGACCAUUUUGGAGGAGGCGAAGAAAAUCGUGUGUCAUCUGGAUUUACCGCACGUGAAAUACCAUGUGUGCAUGAACAAUUGCAUCAUUUAUCGGGACGAGCACGCGGAGUCUACCAUAUCUCCGGUGUGCGGCGUCACUCGAUACAAGAAGAGGAAGAAAGCUCCUCAAAAAGUGGUGUGGUACUUUCCGAUCACUCCUCGUAUGCAGCGGUAUUUCGCGGACCCUAAGGUAGCAAAGCUCCUGCGUUGGCACACGGAUAGGGAGGAGAAGAAGCGAGAAGAUGACACAAAUGAUCCGGAGAUAGAUAAAAAAGACAAGAUGCUGAGUCACCCUAAGGAUGCGAGCCAGUGGCAAGCGUUGAACUUCGAAGACCUAGAAUUUGGGAACGAUCCAAGGAACAUCGUGCUGGGCGCGAGCACCGAUGGAGUCAAUCCGUUUGGCAGCCAGAGAAGCACACAUAGCACCUGGCCUGUGUUUGUGUGGAUGUACAACCUUCCCCCCUGGUUGUGCAUGAAGAGGAAGUACAUUCACAUGAGUAUGCUAAUUGAAGGACCGAAACAACCAGGGAACGACAUCAAUCUGUAUCUGGGGCUGCUGAAAGAGGAGCUUGACACGCUGUGGAAAACGCCAGCCAAUACGUGGGACGCCGCAGAGAAAGAAUAUUUCCCUAUGAGAGCCGCGCUGCUCACGACGGUGCAUGACUAUCUCGGUUACGGAUAUGUCGCGGGGCAGGUGGUCCACGGAUUUUGUGGAUGCGUCAGGUGCAUGGAUGACACAACGUAUCGCCAGCUAGAUAGAGAUCCCGGGUCUUCGAAAACCGUGUUCAUGGGACAUCGAAGGUGGCUUCGCGACGAUGACCCGUGGAGAAAACGCAAGGAUCUAUUCGAUGGUGAAACCGAACCCCGAGGACGCCCGCGUACGAGGAGCGGCGAGGAAAUAGACGAGCUGUUGAAAAAUUGGAAAGACUGCCCACUGCCGGGAAAGAAGCAAAAGGCGCCAGAGCCGGGAAAGAAGCGAAAGGCGCCAGAGCCGCUGCUGAAGGUAUGGAAAACGAGGUCUGUUUUCUGGGACUUGCCGUACUGGAAGGUCCACCGUGUGCCUCACAGCCUUGAUGUCAUGCAUAUCACGAAGAAUGUGUGCGAGAGUCUUCUUGGUACCCUGCUCAACAUGCCAGAGAGGACCAAAGAUGGGCCGAAAGCAAGGGCAGACUUGAAAUCAAUGGGCAUCAGGCAGGAGCUUCACGCUAUAUAUGAUGAUGAUGAGGCGAAGCAGGACACGGAAAGUCGUCGCAAAGGCAAAAAGGCCAAGAAGACCGGAAAUGACUACCCUCCCGCGUGCUUCACUCUAAGUUAGGAGGAGAUCGAGCAGUUUUUCACCUGCCUCGUAGGAGUAAAACUUCCUUACGGUUACGCGGGGAAGAUAAGCAGAUACCUAGACCUAGCGAAGCUGAAGUUCAGCGGGAUGAAGUCUCACGACUGUCACGUGCUGAUGACGCAGAUACUUCCAGUUGCAAUCCGUGGGAUCAUGGACGCGCACGUCCGUGAAACGCUAUUUGGCCUAUGCAACUCUUUCGACGUCAUCUCUCGGAAGUCUGUUGGCGUGAGGCAACUCAGAAGGCUACAGGAAGAGAUCGUGGUGAUACUAUGCGAGCUUGAGAUGUACUUCCCGCCCGCAUUCUUCGACGUUAUGGUGCAUCUGCUGGUCCAUAUCGUGGACGAUAUCAUCCAACUCGGGCCGACGUUCCUGCACAGCAUGAUGCCGUUCGAAAGGAUGAAUGGUGUCAUCAAAGGAUACGUUCGCAACAUGUCACGUCCAGAGGGAAGCAUAGCCAGGGGCUUUCUGACCGAAGAGUGCAUCUCCUACUGCACGAAUUAUCUAGGCAUCGAGAACCCCGUUGGUCUGCCCGUCAACAGGCACCUCAGCAGGCUUGCUGGAUGGGGUCACUGUGAGGGUCGCCGCGAAAUGCAUGUCGACUUCGAGGGUCGACUCGCCGACUUUGAAAGAGCAAACCUAGUCGCGCUACAACACAUAGACGUGGUCGAUCCUUGGGUGGUAGAGCACAAAACCUUUAUUAAGAAGACGUACAAUGACCGAGGCCAACAGAGGACGGACGGAGAUAUACUCAAAGAGCACAACUCAUGUUUCACGCGUUGGUUCAAGCAGAAGCUUCUGUCGUACCCUUUACAUGAGGAUUCUUCCGCGGAAGAACAACUCAUAUUCGCCUUGUCACAGGGCGCCGAGCACAACCUGAUGACCUAUGAGGCGUACGAUAUCAACGGCCACACAUUCUACACCGAGGCCAAGGACAUGAAGAGCGAUGGUUAUCAGAACUCCGGGGUAACGAUGGAAUCCUACACCGGUAACGACAAGGACAGAUACUACGGAAGGAUUGAGGAGAUCUGGGAGCUGAGCUACGCUGGAGAGAAGGUCCCGAUGUUCCGUGUCAGAUGGGCCAAGAGCGUCCUAAAAGAAGACCGGUAUUUCACCACCAUGGUUAUACCCGAAGCCAAAUCCAAGACCGCAUGCGCAAACGUCACCGCGAAAAAUGAGCCAUGGGUACUGGCUUCCCAAGUGGACCAAUGCUUCUUCAUUACCGACCCGUCAAAGCCCAGUCGUGUUGUCGUGAGGAGAGGCAAAAGGAAGAUCAUCGGAAUGGAUGGAGUAGCCAAUGAGCAAGACUUCGACAAGUACGGCGACCCGAGAAUCGAACAUGACGACGAUGAUGAAGUAGCAGCAUACACCACAAGAAGAAGCAGGACCACCCUACCUAAAGGACGUCCGUUCCACAGAAGAACUCCAUUUGCGAAAAAGAAGGGCAAGAAGAUUGUGAACAGAUAGCUAGCUAAGAUCGAUUGUAUUUAAAUCGUAGCCUUCAUUUCAAUUUCAUGGGCACUUUUUGAACUAUCAUGAAUAUUUUUAAAUUUCAUGGACACUCGAUCUCGAUCCCCCUCCAUCUCGAUCGCUAUCCCACCUCGCCAGAUCCGGUCCCCCUCGCCGCCGAGCACCCCCCGGUCCACCGGCCCCCCGCACCCCGCGCACCCUCCCCCGCUCCACCGGCAUUACUGUUUGAUGAUAUUUUUUAAAAAUUAUUACUGUCUUAUAAAAAAAUAUUACUGUUAUGAUUUAAACAAGUUUGAACAUAUUUAAACACAAAUAAAUAUCAAACAGCAUUUUAAAUGCAUAAAAAAAUUGUGGAGCCUUGGAAUCGAACCCAGGACCUCCUGGUGUGAGAACUGGCUGCUGACCAGUCGAGCUAGUAGAGGGAACUUGGUGUGGAUCAGGUCAGGUGGAAGAUAACCUGUUGGCUCGAGCAGAAAUAAAAAAAAUACUAAUGGCGCACCAGGGUGAGGUGCGCCAUUAGUAUGGAUGUACUUAUGGCGCACCGUGGGGUGGUGCGCCAUUAGUAUUGUGCCCUCGCCCUCGAUCCCCUUCCCCUCUCCUAUCCCCGGCCCAAACCUAUCCCCUCUCUCUCCCUCGCCCUCGCCCUUGAUCCCCUUCCCCUCUCCUCUCCCGACGCCGCUGCCCCGCCGCCUCGACGCCGCCCCGUCGUCCUCGUCUCCGCCGCGACGCCCCGACGCCGCGACGCCGCCCUCUCCUCUCCCGACGCCGCCGCCCCGUCGUCCUCGUCUCCGCCCCGACGCCCCGACGCCGCAACGCCGCCCUCUNNNNNNNNNNNNNNNNNNNNNNNNNNNNNNNNNNNNNNNNNNNNNNNNNNNNNNNNNNNNNNNNNNNNNNNNNNNNNNNNNNNNNNNNNNNNNNNNNNNNNNNNNNNNNNNNNNNNNNNNNNNNNNNNNNNNNNNNNNNNNNNNNNNNNNNNNNNNNNNNNNNNNNNNNNNNNNNNNNNNNNNNNNNNNNNNNNNNNNNNNNNNNNNNNNNNNNNNNNNNNNNNNNNNNNNNNNNNNNNNNNNNNNNNNNNNNNNNNNNNNNNNNNNNNNNNNNNNNNNNNNNNNNNNNNNNNNNNNNNNNNNNNNNNNNNNNNNNNNNNNNNNNNNNNNNNNNNNNNNNNNNNNNNCCGCUGCCCCGCCGCCUCGACGCCGCCCCGUCGUCCUCGUCUCCGCCCCGACGCCCCGACGCCGCGACGCCACCCUCUCCUCUCCCAACGCCGCCGCCCCGCCGCCCCGUCGUCCUCGUCUCCUCGGCGCCGCGCCCGUGGCCAGCCCCGUCGACAAGUUCGCGCUCCUCCCCGCCUUCCUCCAGGUACCCCGCCACCCGGCCUACUCUACAGCAUUCUAUACUCUGUGAAAAUGCUACAAACCCCAUUCUGUUUGUCAAGUACCAACUUAUAUGUGUCUUGUGUAUUUUCUAGACUACACUUCCCCCCUAUUUAGUUUCCGAGGUUCUGAUGAGUUGUAAUCCAUUAUACUUAUAGACUUACUGUGAUAUCCUGCAGUUAUCCCCUAUAUUUUUCCUGAAGUUCUGAUGAGUUGCAAUUCAUUAUCCUUAUAGACUUCCUGUGAUAUCCUGCAGUUUUGAACAAACACCUUCACUUCCUUUCUAUGCUGGAUGGAUGGCUUGUCCAUGCAUAUUAUGAACGAAAAGUGUGAACCGGAUAUAAUUUGAAUUUACGGACUUUGUCCAGUCACUGGUGGACCCUUGCAUCCCUUAUCCCCAAACUUCAACUAAAAGCUGUAAAUUAUUAUCAACCACCAAUUGUAAAUUAUCAAACUGCAAAUGUGAAACGAGAGGAGUGUAAGCAUACCUUCCGCAUUGGGAGUUUCAGGACCGCUGUUUGCAUAUGAGGCUUUUAGGCAUGCAUCAGGUGAAAGGUUUUUAUGCAGGCAUCACAACUCGUUCAUAGUUUGUCAAGAUUAAAAAUUGGUAAAUGUUCAAAAAAGUGAAGUGGUCUAGUACUCUAUGCUGAUGCUACCAAUCAUUACUAACAAAAUUGCAGUCGCAUGUCCCCUAGGCCUGAAACAAUAGCGCACUGCUUAUGUAUGAAGGAGAAAUUAAUGGCUGCUCAUGAGGUAUGAGUCACCUUAUUCCAGACCGAUCAGUCAUAGCAUUGGCAUCAGUAGUGUCAAAUGAAUGUCCUUGUCACUCGAUUGCCCUCCGCGUUGAGCUCAAGUGUGGGCAGGAAAGCGAUGGCCAGGCCGUCAACGGCGACAGUGGCUUCAUCAUACACGAGAUGCAUCCUAGUAGUUUCCUUACUUUCGGUGGACACGAGCUGCAGUUUAAUUUUGCUUCUGAUUAAUCCAGAAGGAGAAGGAGCCAAGUGAUCUGCAGUAGUACUAGUUGAGAUCAUAUCCAGCACAUAGUAUGGUGAGAUCAACACUUAAAAUCCCAUUGUGCUGCAAUAGUCUGAAUCAUGUUACAUAAGUGUUGGGUUCACAAAGCUCUGUUACUAUGUGUUCUAGUCAUGUACAGCAGUUUGACAUUCCUCAAAAUUUUAAGUGUUGAUAGAAUGACCGUGGGCGCCGUUUAUUUUGCGUGUCCAGUGGCUGUGGCCACAUUUGCUCUUGAUUAUUUGAUUGGGCAUUGCAUAAACCGCAUCGACCAUGGCACCAUGUUUUUUGAGUCUUCGGUUUAGUAUUUAGGUAAACUUUUGCUCUUGAUUGUUUGAUUGAGGCAUAAACCAAAUCACGACAAUGCCGCACCCGGCCUGUCUUUGCAUGAACAACACAAUAACAAAAGUGAAUCAUAGCUCAGUUAGUCGGGAUUAGAUAUGUCAAAUGCUAGUGUUAGUAUAAUAAGUCAAAUGGAUCAUAUGAUCUGCAGACCUCAUACACCCAAGAAAACCUGAAAAAAAUGAAGUUCAACCCCUCACUUUUCCUAUAUGCAUUGGCCUGUACAGUUGGAUUUGUUUCUGAUUUUAGUGUUUUCAGUCUAUUUUUCUAUUUCUGCUUUAACAUAACGGAAUAACUAAUGGUGGCUGCCUAAUGAUGACAGACUAAGUUUCUGAUUUGUUUUGUUAUAGAAGUGUAGAUUCAUUGGUAGCAAUUGUUUUCAGUGUCUCAUGUUGCUUGUAGUGUUUUGUCCAAAAUGUUGAAUGAUACUGCUUGGAGAUGCAUAUAUUGUUUCACCUAUUCACAUGCCAAUGUAUUUUCCAUGUUGUGAUGGAGGCCUUUUUUGCCUUGUCCACCCGAGAGGCCCUUGAGUUUGCCGGAAUGUCGAUUAACUUCCGUUCCGGCAAAUUCGGGUACUCCAUAUGUCCUAUUUUCAGCAAAGGUCAUGCUGAAAUUUUCCGUGAAUUUUAGCAUGACUUUGCUAAAAAUAGGACAUAUGGGGUACUUGUGACUAAUGCAUGGGCCGGGGUAUCUUAGUAGUUAAUUAAGUAGGAUCAAGUGCCCCGGCGUACUUGUGACUAAUGCAUGGCUUUUAGGGUGCCUCGGUGUCGAUAAAAACCGAAAUGAUGAAAGCUUAGGCUUUUAGGGUGCCUCGGCGUCGAAAAACCCUCAAUGAUAAAAGCUUAGCUUUUAGGAUGCCUCGGUGUCGACAAACCCUAAAUGAUGAGACCAUGAUCUUGUUCCUUGACAAUAACCAACUUUUUGACCAAACUUUGUUCCUAUUUAGAGAGAAACAUGGCCAACAACGAUGAGGCCGGGGGUUCGGGCGUCAAGGCAUUCUGGAAGCUGUCCCAGGAGAUGGAGGAACAACCUCACUUGUAUGAGGACGCCGCCUUCCCCACCGAUCCUGAGACCACUGAUGGUACCGCCGAGGAUGACCCCACUGAUGCCACCACUGAUGGUGCCGCCGAGGAUGCCACCACUGAUGAUGGCGGCGCACGCACAGAUGGCAGCCAACCGAAGAGGCAACGAAAGGACCGGCGCCCGACCGUGCUCCGCACCCUUAAGGAGGAAGUUACUGAAGUGGACUCCGACGGGAAUCCAACGGCGGCCGAACGAAUAGUCAAGGGGUACUCGCUUCAGCUCGGGUGCAUUCUCCGGAGCACCGUCUCGAUCAACACCGAGAACCUGAGGCAUCCUGACCGAGGGAAUUUGCGCAACCUCCUGUUCACGAAGCUGCACGAACGAUACAAGUUCCCCGCUGAAUUUGAAAACACAAGCCUCAAAGGGAAUAAAGUGAACAAUGCUGCCCUCACGAAGAUGAGCAAGGCCCUGUCUACUUGGAAAAGCAAUGUGAAGAGAAUGAUCGAGAAAGGUGAGAGUUAUGAGAAGAUCAAGGAGAAAAAUCCUUCGAUCACCGAAGAUGACUACAACGACUUCAAGAUCAAUUGCUCGAGCACCGCAAACUCUGAAUCAAGUAAGUGGGGGAAAGAAAUGCGGGAGCUGAACUUAGGGGAAAACACACUCGGUCCCGGCGGUUACAGAGUGGCGGAGCCUAUAUGGGACAAGGAGGAGGCGGACCGUGCCGAGCAAGGCCUACCGCCCCUCUUCGAUAAAUACGGUGACAAGCAGACCAGGAACUUUGUCAGGGCCCGGUACAAGAAGGACCCGAAAACAAAGGAGCUUACCACGGAUCCGAAGACCAGGGCGCUUGAGCUUGUUCUGGUAAGGAAUACACCCCCGCGUAAUUAGCUCCAUAUGGUUGCAUUCUAAUUAAUGAAGCCAAAUUUCUAAAUGGUUCACAUUCCUUCCGCAGGCGACUGAAAGCAGUAGCGCGGGGUCGACUAAGAGCAACCCUUGGGACACCACUCUAAAUAGGGCGUUGAAUGUAAUGAAGAACAAGGAUAAGCUCAGUAAGCCGACGUCAGCUGGUCGUGUGGCCGGCAAAGGCUUGUCGACAAAAUGGUCGUCAUACUAUAACACUGGUGGGCGAAAGGAGAAAAAGACCAGCUCGGAAAGCCAGGCGCGCGAGGUUCAAGAACUCAGGGCACAGGUGGUGCGGAUUCCGGAGAUUGUCCAAGAGCAAGUGCAACAACAACUCGGAGCGACGAUCACCGCCAUUGUGCCUACCUUGAUCCAGGGGAUUAGUGCGUGGCUUGCGGGCGGCCAACAGGGGCCGCCCCCGAUUCCUAGCUUCACGGCCAGCAACUCGCAGAACGCGAUGGCGGGGCCAUUGGUGUCUCCGGCGGAGGCGGCAUUGGUGUCUCCGACGCCGGCACGGGAGCUUAAUGCACCCGGGUGUACGCCGGCCGGCACCUCUGCAGCAAGCGGCCCCUCCGUCAACUGCACGCCCGCCGUUGGCGGUGCCUCGACAUUAGCCGAGCUCGAUGCCAUCAUCACGGUAACUAAUUAAGCCUCUCUCGGCCGAGGACUUCAUCUCCUUGCCUUUGACUGGGCAUCCCUAACGCCCUAUAUGUUUUCGCAGGGCGCCGCCGACGUUCCGUGCACUCUCCUGCACUUCGUGAACAACGAGUUGGUCGAUGUCGCCAAGGGCAAAAUCGUUCAACCGGGCAACCCCUUGUUCCACGGUACCCAGAUGCCACCCAACUUGUUUAGGGUUCAACUGGUUCGGGUGCUGCCAGGCUGCGACGAGUUGUUACCACCCAACAUGACGUGAUGACCCUCAGCGCCUGCUUGAGCUGGCCCCUGCUUUGGCCGAAGAGCCAGAUUCGUUUGGGGGCGGGGGACACCACCCCAAAGACAACACCGCCAGUCGUGCCGGCGCCAAGUCGGCCCCAUGGCAAGACCGCCGCAACGGUGCCGGACAUCCCUAUGCCACUGGAUCCAAACAUGCAUAUGGCACAGGAUCAGAACGACGACGACGACGAUACAUUUGCCAACGUCGAUCAGUACUGUGCCGAUCAUGGGUACGGUGGCGACUUCAUGGGGCCUCCUUCUCAAGAACCCAACCCAACAAAAGACGUGUGCAAUCUAGCUAGUACCGCGGAGAAGCCAAGUUGCAACAGGCGUCGUCUGCAGUUCAGCUCUCAGGAGACGCCUCCAGCUGCUGACUUCACCGAGCCUCAGAUAGGCGAGGUGCGAAAUAUGAUCAGCCCAACACACUCAAGAAGGCGGUCUGUGAGCAGAACUCGGUCCCAUUACAGGAGAAGAAGAAGGCACGCAAAAGAAAGACUAACAAGGGUGCGGGCCAGCCGGCACCGAGUACGAUCCGUGCUCAGGACGGGCCACCUUCAACUGAGGAUAUCUCGAGGAGGGUGCAUGUGGCGGGUAGGCCGAUGCUACCGAGAAAUAUGCUCGAUGCUGCAACCGGUGCUAUGCGGAGUCUGCAUGACAGUGUUCUUUCUUUGGAGAAGCGGCGUCUCGGAGAGAAGGAUGUGGCAUACCCGGUUUUCGCGGCCAAGGUGCCAGAGGGCAAGGGCUUUGUGGAUAACUCCAUCGGGGGUACGAUCGUCCUGCGGUUUGAUGACAUCCACGCUAUGUUGAACCUUCAUCCGCUGCACUACACCUUCGUUUGGCUAUUUUCGCUGAGUAUGGAGAUGCGGAUCAUUCGCGACAAGAACCCAAACAUCGUGAUAGUCGACCCCUUCUACAUGCGUGCCAAGAUCUUGGGCAGCGCUGGGGACUGGCAAGUCGCGAGUUCUUACCUCGAAGGCGUCAUUCUGGCAAACCAAGAUAAGGAUAACUUCCUCGUGCCUUACUUUCCCGAGUAAGUCCUCCCCUCAACCGCCCCGUAACAUAUGAAUUCUUAGAUUUCGAUCAUUUUUCUUUUAACAUUCCGUGUUUUCUACAGUGACACACAUUGCACGCUCAUCCUCCUAAGCCCCAAAUAUUCCAUGGCCACGUAUUUCGACCCGGACCGUCAGUCGAACGUAGACUACACAAAUGUCAAGAAGGUUCUUGAUGAUGUUCUCCCCGGCUACGUCAAAUCUGGAGGCACCUUCACCAGGCCUAUUCGUAAGUACGGCAAGCACGUGUUCUCCCACAAUACGACGUUCUGCUGCGUCAAGCAGCCGCCUGGCGGUCAGAAGGGUGCCUACUACGCCAUCCAUCACAUGCGGGCGAUCGUACGGGACCAUCAUCAACUUCUGCUACCGAGUAGACUCAAAGAUUGGGCCGCGAGCGUGUCGGCAAUCCAGGACGCGGACAUCAGACAAGAAUUCUUUCGCAUCCAGUCGGAGUUUGCGGAAAUCAUCCAUCAAGAUGUCCUUCGUACCUCGGGGCAGUUCUACCUCAGAAAUCAACCGUCCAACAGUGACAUCGACACAAUCCUACAAAUGCAGGCUGGCAACGCCCGUUGUUUCAUGACUCCCACGAUAGACGGCGGCUUCAUCCACGCUCCGGUCCCUUGAGUCGAGUCGAAAGCAGUGAUGCUGUGUCUAGUUCUGAAACAUCGAUUGGCUCAUGUUGUAAUUAAACUUUAAUGAACUUGUAGUAUGUCUCUUUGGUUUCGAGAGUCCUUCAACUUAGAUGUAAUCGAUGCUAUUAAUGUCUUGCUUUUCUCUUCCGAUCGUUCUGUUGCAUACUUAUAUAUUGCUUAUGUAUUGUCUAUGAAUUGGUACUAACGUUUCGUUUGGCUACUGCAUAGCGAUGCCGUGGUAUGUCGUGUACAAGGGUAAGGUUCCCGGAGUCUACGACGACUGGGAGGAGUGUCGGAGACAGGUUCACCGAUUCAGCGGUAACAGUUACAAAGGGUACGCCACUAGGGCCGAGGCCGAAUCUAGAUACGCCCGCUAUCUAGCGGGAGAGGGGAGGGAGCGUUGGAGGAACCGGAUGAAGACGAGUUUCAUCGUGAUGACCGCAGCUCUCUUCUAUGUGAUGGUAGUUUAGAUGAUCGAUAUCGACUUGUAAUGUGAAGACAAACUCGCGGUCUCGAGACUUGUAAUAUAAUGUUCUAUCUUUGUUCGGUCUUUUCAAUUCGGAGACUAAUAUGAUGAAUUGUAUUCGGAGACUAAAAUGAUGAAUUGUAUUCAGAGACUAAUCUUCUAUUGUAUUCGAUGAAUCUGUUGUUGAUGUGUGCUGUCUAUAUUUUGUCCAAUUAUACAUUUUGUAACCUGUGCAAAAAACAGAAAAUAAAAAAAAAACCUAAUAUUCAUACUAAUGGCGCAUCACAUCAUAGUGCGCCAUUAGUAUGCCAAAGGAUACUAAUGGCGCAUCACUAAACAGUGCGCCAUUAGUAUGCCGAAGUCACUAAUGGCGCAUCCUGUUGUUGUGCGCCAUUAGUAUGCCAAAGCACCUGGGUAUAGAUGGCCCCCUGGGAGGCAUACUAAUGGCGCACUGUUGUAUAUACUAAUGGCGCAUCUGGGGUGCGCCAUUAGUAUACCAGAUACUAAUGGCGCACCAGUGGUGCGCCAUUAGUAAAAUAUACUAAUGGCGUGGCACUAAUGGCGCACCACUCAUGCGCCAUUAAUGGCCAAAUUAGGUGCGCCAUUAGUAGGCCUUUUCCUAGUAGUGUAGUGCCCAGCACUAACAGUUUGGUGAUGAAGAGAAGAGAAGAGUAGUUGUUGUUCUUUUAGUGAUGUUGCUAUUUUGACAGUGAUGCUAUGUACAAACUAUUGCUAUGAACUUGUGGUCUUUUAGUGUGGUCGCUAUUUUCAUUACUUUGCCAUCAACUUAUGGUCUUUUGUGUGAACAAUCUUUACAAGUAUGGCUGCUGAAACUUGUGUGUUGUCAUAUUGAAACAUGUGUUAUAUAUCUCGCUGAGAUGAUUUAUUAUAUCCUACUAAAAUCUUGUGUCAUA
rnacentral:lncRNA from 1 species